rnacentral:rRNA from 1 species
GGGGAAUAUUGCACAAUGGGGGAAACCCUGAUGCAGCAACGCCGCGUGAGUGAUGACGGUCUUCGGAUUGUAAAGCUCUGUCUUCAGGGACGAUAAUGACGGUACCUGAGGAGGAAGCCACGGCUAACUACGUGCCAGCAGCCGCGGUAAUACGUAGGUGGCAAGCGUUGUCCGGAUUUACUGGGCGUAAAGGGAGCGUAGGUGGAUAUUUAAGUGGGAUGUGAAAUACUCGGGCUUAACCUGGGUGCUGCAUUCCAAACUGGAUAUCUAGAGUGCAGGAGAGGAAAGUAGAAUUCCUAGUGUAGCGGUGAAAUGCGUAGAGAUUAGGAAGAAUACCAGUGGCGAAGGCGACUUUCUGGACUGUAACUGACACUGAGGCUCGAAAGCGUGGGGAGCAAACAGGA